GUGACUCUGUAGCAAGCUGUUUGUUAUAUAUAACCUUUCACCUCUUUCAAAAUCUGAUUGUUCUGAUGAAACAAAAAAAAGCCAAGUACUCAAAAAAAAAGUAGAUGCGUGUACAGAUACGCACUUCACAGAACAGUUUCUUUUAAUUAUUUGCAGUCUUCAUUAUCAUAAUUUCAGUGUUUCCAUAGCAUUUAAAAAUAGAAAUUAAAACAAGUCUCCCUUGUCUCUUGCGUCCCUUCCCAGCCCAUAGGAUAAAUAGCCUGAGUCAUCUAUAGGGUGUGUGCAUGGCUGGGGGAGUGGCGCCUUUGUGAGAAAAGAAAUUGCUGAGAACAAGAAGAUGGAAAAACUGAGCAGGCAGCUGCCUGCGAUAAUUCAGAGUUGACUUUGCAGCUCACGUUCCUCUCAGGUACAACACGUACCAGCCCUUGGUGCAACAGCAGCAACUUCUGCAUCUUCACAGCAAAUCCUUACUGAUAUUCGCUCCAUAAAACAGCAGAACGUAGUAACAGCUGAAAAGGUUUACGUUUCUUCCCCCUUUUAAAAAAAAAUUAAAAAUAAAUGCAGAAUUCCCCCUCUUCUAGGAAAAGGAACCCUUUUCCCUAGCUCUGCCAUCUUUUGUUGAAGGUCUACACAUCUUCUGCAGCCUCAUUUCCUGCUUUGCUUCUCUUCGUGCUUGCAGGGGCUGUAGCUGAGACACAUUGGCCCAGCUAAGGCUGCCUGCGCUCCGAUUCUACAGCCUUGCAUGUUUGCUGGAGGAAGAAAAAUAGAAGCAAUGUACAUUAAAUCCUGGGAGACAAACUGUCCGAUCUCAUAGAGAAGGAUAGAAGGCUGAAUGGAGAGGGAGCAUUAGGAAGCUCGCACAGUGCAAAGUGGAUGCUUUUUCACAUACACCAUUGUGGACACAGACCUGCAAGCCUUUGAAAGAAGUCCUGACUCGCCCAUGCAAGUAACAUCAAUGGAGCAGGAGCUGUUACCUGCAGCAAAGAUGGCAUAGGAUUCUGGCACCUCCAGAAAUAACUUGGAUUUUUGGAACGAGCUGGAGCCAGGUCUUUGGUGUGUAAAGACUGCUGUGGAAAAAGAAGAGGGGUGGAGGAGACACAGGGCAGGGUUCCUCACCGGCAGAGCACAGGGAGAAGGCACAAGACACCAUGUGGAAGGAGAAAGCGAUAGACAGUUAUUGGUACAUCACAAGCCUGGCGAUGGGAAACGUGAACUUAAAGCAGUGGAAGGGGGGGGCGCCUCAGGAGGAUCAAAAGGCAGCAAGGGAGUAUUAUGAUCAUAUUGGCUGCUGAAAAAGUGCCUUGGCAGAGACGCGUUUGUCUUUGCGGAUUAGUAGGAACUGGAAAGGAGAAACAGCAUGAGGAGCAACGUGGUGCCGGUUCUGAAUCCUAACAAUGGGGGGAGGAGGAGGAAUCUUAGGGGGGAUUACAAGGCUGAGAUGAUCUAUAUUAGCGUUUUUAAAAAUGUGAAUCUUCCAAUUUCUUUUUCUUUGUAUUUUGCUGCAUUUAAUGGGGGGAGUUGUGCACUCCUCAGUGGUUUGUUUUUUUUUCCUUUUUUUUUUUUUUUUGUUUAUGAUGCUGAUUAGUAAGAGCAGCAUUAUUUCAGCUGAGUGAAAUAUCAUGUACCUUUAAGAAGCAGUGAACUUGAGUGCACUUACAGGGACAUGUGUAGUAAUUAAUCAAGGAAUGACACAGUUGGUCAGAUUUUUUUUUUUUUUUUUUUUUAAAUAUGGGAGUACGCUUCCAGGUCUCUACACUUUAGAAAGAAGUAAUAUGUAGAAAACGUAUUUAAUAAUAAAAAAAAUAAUUAUCUGUGAAGCUUUUCUGUGAAACUUCAUCAUGAUCUGUAAAUAUUCUAUGUAAUGAUUUAGAAGAGUUAAAGUUUUCCGGUAUUAAAACACCCCUAAAUUUCAAAAUGAUAGCAGGUUUUUUGGAAUGGUUUUAGAUAAGAAGAGAGGCUUCUUAACCUAGAUGAAAAUCUGCCAAACGUAAAAGGACACAUAGUAUUACUAAAAAUUGAAGCUUAAUUGUUAUUGCCAGCUACCCGUCCAUAAGCAUUCAUGUGGCUGAAAACCAGCAUUCCUUAGAAAGAAAGUAGGUGCAAGCCACUUGCAGGAGCCAGCAAAACCAGGAAGAUCCACAGAAUGACAAUGCACUAUUUUCCACCUCUAAUUGCAUCACAUAUUUCUGUGCAUAGAUCAGCAGUAAAAUGAAAUUUGGUAUCAAGGUCUGCCCAGGGUGCUUACACUUCUCGUUACGAGCCCCAGUAUGUGAUAAAACAAAGCUACCAGCGGCAAGGUAUUUGUGAAGUUGGACACCAACAAGUAGGGAUUAACAACCACAUCGGAAAUAAUGAACCUUGACAGAUCUAGGGUUAAAUACUUUAAAAUUAGAUCCUGCUGAAAGCUGAAUCUUGUCGCUUAGCAACAGCUGCAUGGGAUGCUGCUGUCACUCAGUGGAUGCUACUCCGGGGAGUUAACGUUAUUAUGCUCACAGAAAAUGGGUUAUGAUUGGGUCAAGGUGACAUCAUGCAGCAUGGCAGCAUCCAUUUUUUAAGGUAGCAUCCAACACGAUCGCACUCCAGUUAAUACCCAGAUUUAAGGAAAAAUCUUUUCUUUUGAAAUGGCUCAGCUCUGCCUACACCUUACCUGCCCUGUGGAUGGGCUCACGGAGUCUGCGCGGAACAGCAGGUCAUUUCAGCCAGCACCCCGUCAUCAAGCUCAACAGGUGGAUUUUUAAUCUUUUCCAAUUACUCGGAGCCAAAAGAAAAGCAAAAUGCUUGUAAUUUGUGGUGGUCUGACUGUGUAUUCAGAGCAUGGAAACCUCCGCCGGCAGUUCGGAAAACAUGCACAAAGCUUGUGAGAGAGAAUAAAAUGUACCUUUAUGAAAAUUUAGUUUGCUGAGCUAAUUUUAGCAUUUAAAACAACUGGGAACAUGCUGGAUCUUAGCAAGAAACCAAGAUACCUACUUAAUUAAAUAAAUAAAAAAAAAGCCUUUGAGGCACAAAAUCUAUUCUUAAAAGUGAUGCUGUGUCAAGGUUGAUGUAGGCACCUACAGAGAUUUUUUCGAACACCUGCCUGCCACCUGCAAAGCCCAUAAGCACAUCAGCACUUCUGAGGCUGGCCUGAUAGGGGUCAACCUGCAUUUCCAGGCAUGAAAAUACCUCGAGUGCUUAACUGCUGCCACCAGCGCCUUUGAAAUGGAUACAGAAAUUAGAUACUCAGCCCAAUCUCAUAUGCUGCCUCAAGUCAAGAUGCUAUGGAAACAAGAGAUUAUAGCAACCAGCAUAAAAGCCACACUCGGAUAGGCGUACCUGGUUUUGAGAGCUGGAUGUCCUUCUCUCAACACUGAAAGAGCACAGGCAAGUACUUGGUUGAAGGCAGUCAUUCCCAUGACUCAAAUGAAGCGUGACAGUGGCAAAUGUAGCAUCUCUUAUUAAGGCAUGAGGCAAAGACACCUUUGGUCUAUCCCCACUGUUUUAAGACAACAACAAAAAUCCCCAACCCUGUAGAUAACUGCAAAAUGAGCUGAACAGCUGAUAAAUCUUGUUCUUCUUCCUUUAUUUGGACAGGCUGUGCCAAAAAGGAGUUCCUGGUGAGCAGGAAGGUUACCAGGAGAGAUCACAAAGAGUCGGGAUCAGGACAGAUCUCAUUAAAUCAAGUUCCAGCUCACGAACUACCAACUUUUUCCACCAACUGGGGCCUCACUGCUUGGCAGUGAUGGAGGACAACAAAGGCAGGGACACAUCAGCUGACAGCGGGAUUAGCCGACUGUAUGUGACCGGGUGAAGGUCAUGACAAGCCUAGGACAUGCCAGGCAAGAGUGGUGCUGCAAAGUCAGGGAAAUAUUAAGGCCAGGUUACAAAAGGCACCAGCACCCUAGAAGAGUGUCUAUAGCUCUUUUCUCAUGAAUUCAAAAGUGGAGAGAAGUGGUUAAGAGGAAUGAAGAUCAUGUCCUCCCAACAGAAACUAAAUAAUCUUGGUUUGUUUAACAAGUCAAGAGCCUAAGGAGGGAAGUGAUUGCUUUUGUACUGAUGCAAUAGGAAAAUAAACACUCUGAUGUUUAACGAAGAGCUGUUUAAACUAACACUGGCAGAGGGUAGUUAAUAAUCUUAUGUUAGCUGUAAGAAGUUUAUAACUGUAAGAGCAGGUAGCUUUCAGGAGAGCCUUCCGGAAGAAAAGGGAGCACAAGAAACCCUAUUACAGCACUCUCCAGACUAUCAAGCUGAAACAAGGUCUUCUGCCAUCUCAUACCAGCACACUCUUCAUACAGUCCAAACUAACAAUGCUUACAGGUAACUGGAAACUCAAGAGCUGUGAAAGUAUAACCACAUUCUGUGAUAAAUUUAGACAGCCAUUUUUUCCAAAUACAUCUAAUCUAUUAGGUAUUUCCUCAACAAAUGUCCUUAAAAUACAGCUGGUAUAAGUGGGUAAUUGCUUCAGUUAAUGCUUUAUUUCUAGAGUUGUGGCUCCGUACAGAGGGUAAUUUCCAGCAAAGUCGUAACAGAGGAAAACACUCUUGGGAAAUUUAACAAUGAACUUAAGGCUCUCUUAGCAUAAUAUAGUGAAUAACAAUUAGAAAGAUAUCAUUAACAUAUGAUACAUAGCUGUGAUUUUGUCCAAACUAAUUAGAGCAGUUGUUCUCUUAUCAGUAUAUUAAGACGAACACUAAAUCAAAGAUGUUAAUAGCGCACAUAUAUUCUGUAAUUUGUGAUUUAAAUUUUAUUUCACACGGUGACGGAGACAAGUCUUUGUUAAAAGUCUUCCACAUCACUUCACUGCAAAAGGAAAUUGCAUUUCCAUCGGAUCCUACAGAGGAAGCUUCACUCAGUGAUACUAGUAGGUUAAAAAAAAAAAAAUCAAAAUAGAAUGUCUGCUUUUAAGAGAGAUAAGCAUCAUGUCACAUCUUGUUUCCUCCUCUAGUACUUCUGCCUCUUAGGCAUCGGGAGUGCGCAUGUGUGUGCGUGCACGGGAGGGGAAAGCUGGCCUGGGAGCCACAAGCCAAGGCAAGUGGAAAGUGGGAUGGGGACUGUUUCAUUCCUGCUAGUGAAGUUCCCACCUGUGUGCUUUCCGUAAGGCCCAACAGACACCAUAAAUCAUAUCUGAAGAAAGUAAACACUGAAACAACCACCAAACAAGACCCGUGCAGCUUUAUCCAGGGACACAUUUUUGUAAAUUACCUGUCCCGUAUCACGCCGUUGAUCUUCGAGUAUCAUACAAGCAACUUGGCCGCCACAAUAUGGAUACAGAACUGUAAAUAAUUACAGUUAAUGAAAUAAUUUCAUCAGAAAAAGAUUAAUUUCUGUUUAAACAAAUGCUUUUGCACAGGAGGGCAAAAGGUACACAGUAGUACUUCAGCAAUUUCCAAGAUGUCAAAACAUUCCCUGAGUUCCAGGUUAAAGGGUGAAAUCUUGCCUUUGUUAGAUGCCCUUCCAACAUUAUGGGCCAGCUAUGGGUGAACCUGACUGCAAGCAAAUCCUGCUGUGGGUUGGCAGGGUAUUUUACACGACCUCCACAUGCAUGCAGCCACCUUACCCAGCCUACGGUGAAUUACACAUUUGGCUUUUUACCCUAGUCCAGUCUCAUGGGAGAGCUUUAAAUGGGAAGGUGGAGCACUCAGAGCAUCACCUGAGACCAGAACCAGGGUCUGUAGAUAAAGAGAGAACACAGCGCUUUCUGUUUGCAAUGCUGUUUAUUUUAGAAAAGCCCCUUUGAUCAUCUGAAUGAAAAAUGUGGGCAGAAAAGUCACAAAUGUUAUAAAACAAAGUUUAUUCUGCAAUAUUUUGUCAUAAUGAAUUGCAUCUCUUUGGUAAAAAUAAAAUUUAUAAACAUUUUAAUUAACAGAGAUUAGCAUACAAAAAACUAAACUUCUGUAAAUAGUCUUUAAAACAGGUAAAGGACUAAACCGGAGGAAAACGGGUUAGAAUUGGUCACCUACUGGCAAAAUUAUUCUAAACAAACCCAAGGACAUUGCUUAUGCUACAUUAGAAACAAGCUAAUGGGAACGGUUUUAAAACAACUCUGGUUCAUUUGAUCAGAAAGCAUUCUUACAAUUCAUUUUUAAAUAAAUAAUAGUUACAAUGAAUUGGCAAUUAUAAAAUGUUUUAUAUCACUAUAUGGCAGUAACAUAAUACUUUUAAUUAUGCACUUUUUAGUUUGAAGAAAUGUACACUUAUAAAACAGACUUGAUAAUGGCACUGGCAGUUAGGUGUGAAGAAUGUGCUUUAAGAUAUAAUGGCAGGUGCAACAUUUAAA